rnacentral:tmRNA from 1 species
GGGCCAGUCAAGGUUUCGACAGGGGUCUUGCAGCUGGAGAAGCUAUCCGCAGGCGAUGCGUCAAAUCGCAAACCUAAAUAUAAACGCUGAAGAUAAUUUAGCAUUCGCUGCCUAAGGGCAGCUGUCCGCCUUAGUGCACCUACACAUUAAGAUCCGGGCAUCGACUUUGUAGGAAACGACGCGGGUGACGCCUCUAACCCGCGGGCGUAUCAGAGGCUACUGAGCGCGGUGGGGUGUCUGUCUCCUGCCGGGUGAGGGAAUGUGGAGUGAUCCGAAAUGACGGACUAUGAUAGUAGAAGGACAGGGAAUGGGCUUUUGGACACGGGUUCGACUCCCGUCUGGUCCACUG